GUUCACGUUCGGUGGAGGAACCAGACUGGAUGUUGGAAGUGAUACUCGUCCCACCCUGACAGUGCUGCCCCCCUCCAGUGAGGAGCUGCAGCAGGGGAAGGCCACCCUCAUGUGUCUGGCCAACAAGGGCUUCCCUUCAGGCUGGAGUUUGUCCUGGAAGGUGGACGACGGCAGCAGCAGCAGCAGCAGCUGGGAGCAGAGCAGGAGCCCCGCGGUGCUGCAGAAGGACGGCCUCUACAGCUGGAGCAGCACCCUGAGGCUCCCUGCAGACCAGUGGAGGAAGGUGGGCUCUGUGACCUGUGAGGCCACCCAGGGCUCCCAGACUGCAGUCACAGAGACACUGAGGAGAGACCAGUGUUCCCAGUAACAACUUGGCUCAUGUUUUUUUCUACUCUGCUCCUUUUUUAAGUGUACUGACUUUAAAAUAUGUUUUUUGUCAGAUUUUAUUUUCAAACUUCCUGUUUCUUCUUUU